UAUAAAUAUUGCUAUAUACUCAGGAACCAUCACAUACACAUCUCGCAUUCCUUCUUAAAGAAAUAGAAAGAGAUUCCAAAUAUGGGAAACGCACAGGCUAAGUGGAUUCCUGUUGGUCCUCCUCCUCCACCUCCUCCUCCUCCAUUCCAUGUCAGAGAGGACAGUGACCUUCUGUAUGACAGCCAGAUGUUCGUUGAUGAAGAAGUUGUGAUCUUCAAUGAUAAUAUUAUGGUUUAAAAUUUUAUGUGUUUGAAAUGCCUUAAAUAAGUACGUCUGGUUUGACGUAAUAUGUGGAAUAUAAAUAAUUAAAUAAACUCGAAAAUGUUUCUACUUAUACUUA